rnacentral:rRNA from 1 species
AGAGUUUGAUCAUGGCUCAGGAUGAACGCUAGCGGCAGGCUUAAUACAUGCAAGUCGAGGGGUAACAGUUGAGUAGCAAUACUUGAGCUGACGACCGGCAAACGGGUGCGGAACACGUGCGAAACCUUCCCUUAUCUGGGAGAUAGCCCGAAGAAAUUCGGAUUAAUAUCCCAUAAUAUAUUGAGAUGGCAUCAUUUUAAUAUUAAAACUCCGGUGGAUGAGGAUGGUCGCGCGUAUGAUUAGGUAGUUGGCGGGGUAACGGCCCACCAAGCCUACGAUCAUUAGCUGAUGUGAGAGCAUGAUCAGCCACACGGGCACUGAGACACGGGCCCGACUCCUACGGGAGGCAGCAGUAAGGAAUAUUGGUCAAUGGACGCAAGUCUGAACCAGCCAUGCCGCGUGAAGGAUUAAGGUCCUCUGGAUUGUAAACUUCUUUUAUAGGGGGCGAAACCCUUCAUUUCUAUGAAGCUUGACAGUACCCUAUGAAUAAGCACCGGCUAACUCCGUGCCAGCAGCCGCGGUAAUAC